rnacentral:rRNA from 1 species
GACGUAGGGGGCCAGCGUUGCUCGGAAUUACUGGGUGUAAAGGGCUCGUAGGUGGCCAACUAAGUCGGACGUGAAAUCCCUCAGCUUAACUGGGGAACUGCGUCCGAUACUGGAUGGCUUGAGUUUGGGAGAGGGAUGCGGAAUUCCAGGUGUAGCGGUGAAAUGCGUAGAUAUCUGGAGGAACACCGGUGGCGAAGGCGGCAUCCUGGACCAACACUGACACUGAGGAGCGAAAGCCAGGGGAGCAAACGGG